AAAAAGUAAAUAAGAACAAACUUUGGAAAUGGUAUAACAUAGAUUAUAUAAUUUAAGAAAAUCUCAUGAUGUUUUAACAGAAAAUAUAAAAUGAGUCUGACAAAAAAAAAGAUUCUUUCAGCUUUUUGUGCAGCCAAAUUUUCAUUUUAUGCCAAAGGUGUAUGAAUUAUUAAAAAAUAAUCCUUACAAGCAAGAAGAGCUACUUAAGUAAAUGUCAAUCUAUAACUUCUUAGAGUUAAAAAACAAGCAGAAAAACAUGAAGUCAACUUGAUGCGAAAUAUCUUUCAGAUUUGAAUUGUUGCCUAAGAUCUAUACUACUUAUAAAAGAGCGAACACCCUCUAUUUCUGGAAUUUUCAUUGGACAUGUUCUGCCCCCCUCUCUAUGCAUAUGUAGAGGGCAUAUAUGUCCUUUACUCUCACUGGAUUAGAAACCGGAAAACAGUGCCCUCUCUCCCACAAACUCAAACUGUUUAUCUCCCACAAACUAUUAUUCCACUUCUGAGUAGCUUCCUUGCAAGCGGUUUCAUCUCCCACUUUUGAGUACCUUUCCUCCAAGCGGUUUCAUCUCCUACAUUCAAAGAGAUCAACGCUUCCACGAUGGUUUAUCUAUGAAUGGUUAUUAUUCUACUUCUGCCAUUCUUAUAAUAAGGAUGGACAAGAAAGUGGAAAAUCAGAGUAUGCAGAGAAACCCAAGACAGCUACCCAAGAGGGGAGCCAGCAACAAGAGGGUGUCGUAGUUGCAGUGAUGUCCGUCGUUGUUAGAGAAGGCCAGUGUUUUUCGAGAUGCCGGCACACCAGCAGCGGCAAGCAUGGAGGUGGAGGUGGAGGCCGAGAAGACACGGUUGAGGUUGGCAAUGAGAACACCAGUGGUUCUGGAAAAUUCAAUGAAGAUGGCGAUGCUGAGAGAGAGCAAAUUUUUCAAGGGUUUUAUCACUAUGUUCAUUUAUUCAAGUUCGUGCCUCCUCUGUUUAUGGGCUUUCGAUUUCUUUUAUGAUUUGUAAUGUUAAAACUUGUAUUCUUUUUUUUUUGAUGAAUUAAAACCUGUAUUCUUUCAAUCCUUCGAAUUUACUAGACUUUUUUUAAUCUCUGUCUAUCGAUUUAUGUAUAUGUCUUGGAUCUGGUUUAUAGCUGGGUUUUCUUCCAUUUUAGUUUUGCUUGUUUCUUCUUUUCCUCUCUUUUUGCUCACAUUAAAGUACGUUUUGUCUGCUUUUCUUUCUUUCUUUUUGAUCAAGUUUACUUUCAAAUGGAGUCUUGGCUUUCUGCCAACACGUGAGUCUCUUCUUUUUCUUUAUGGAUUUCUGGAGGAUACUGGAUCGAUCUUUUCACUCUUAAUAGGUAAUCCAAUCCACUUGUAAAUGUUCGGCCUUUUUUAUUUUCUUUCUGGUUUCCAACAGAUGGGUUUCAUUGCUAAACAUGGAAAAACACUAAUUCAAAUCUUCAUCUUCCUUACAGAUGGUGGUAGCGUGAUGAAAGAGCUGGACAUAAAUCAAAUCCCCUCAGGCACAGAAGAAGUGGGAAGUGCAGAAGAAGAAGAGACCAGCUUGGGUGGUGGUGGUGGUGAAGGCCCUCACCGUAAGAAGCUCCACCUCACAAAAGAACUAUCUCGUCUACUGGGAGAGUUUCGGACAGAACCAGACCUUGAAUCCUAAACAAAAGGAAGCGUUGGCUUUACAGCUGAAGUUGAAACCACAAGAAGUUGAAGCCUGGUUUCAAAACCAUAGGGACAGGUGCAAACAAACUCCGUACCCUAAUUAAUAACGAAUCAGAAUGCAGACUUCAAAAUCGAUGUGGGAUAAACAUCUUCAAUUUAUGGUUAAUUAAUUGUUUGGGAUCUGGAAGGAAAUGAGCAGAAGGAUCUUUGAAGGGAAACAGUGAAUUUUUUCCUGAUGAUAGAGUAGCAGAUUUACCAUACAGAGUGUAAACAUUUGGAAUGCUCAGAUUUUGGUGUUAAUUUUGGCCAACUUUAGACCUUGUAGCUGCAGAUAUUUUAUGUUAUCAAUUUUCCUUUUGUGUUA